GUGGUCUAGUGGGACUGGGGCUUAACUAAAAUGACAGAAUUGUGAAGAUUUCAGUAAUUUAGCAUGACUUAAUGAUGCUAGUACCCGAUAUAUGUGCAUCGUAUUGUCAAAAACAGCCCAUAUUUAUGUAGCAGAAGCAUUCUACUUUCCAAUAAAUAACUAAAAGUUUACAUUUUAACAAUUUCGUAAAACUGCUAUAUUUUGGGGCCAAAAAGGGG
rnacentral:lncRNA from 1 species